rnacentral:rRNA from 1 species
UACGAAGGGGGCUAGCGUUGCUCGGAAUCACUGGGCGUAAAGGGUGCGUAGGCGGGUCUUAAGUCAGGGGUGAAAUCCUGGAGCUCAACUCCAGAACUGCCCUUGAUACUGACGGUCUCGAGUCCGGGGAGAGGUGAGUGGAACUGCGAGUGUAGAGGUGAAAUUCGUAGAUAUUCGCAAGAACACCAGUGGCGAAGGCGGCUCACUGGCCCGGUACUGACGCUGAGGUGCGAAAGCGUGGGGAGCAAACAGG